AUUUAAUUGAGUAGCAGAUAUUAAUGAUGGAAAAUUAGAAAUCAAUAUAACAGUUGAAGGCCGGACUCCUGAAAGUGAAUUGAACAGCAGGAGCAAUGCAGCUACUCCAGCAGGAAGACAAAGGGCUAACUCUACGGUUUCACUUUGCACUCUGAAUGGGACAACUUAAUCAGGAAGACUCCUGACAGUAGAAAACAGAGCAAGGAAGAGGUGGACACUAAUUAGUUGAAGACUUGUGCCCUGAG